CGGAGCUUGCUCCACCGGAAAAAGAAGAGUGGCGAACGGGUGAGUAACACGUGGGUAACCUGCCCAUCAGAAGGGGAUAACACUUGGAAACAGGUGCUAAUACCGUAUAACAAUCGAAACCGCAUGGUUUUGAUUUGAAAGGCGCUUUCGGGUGUCGCUGAUGGAUGGACCCGCGGUGCAUUAGCUAGUUGGUGAGGUAACGGCUCACCAAGGCCACGAUGCAUAGCCGACCUGAGAGGGUGAUCGGCCACAUUGGGACUGAGACACGGCCCAAACUCCUACGGGAGGCAGCAGUAGGGAAUCUUCGGCAAUGGACGAAAGUCUGACCGAGCAACGCCGCGUGAGUGAAGAAGGUUUUCGGAUCGUAAAACUCUGUUGUUAGAGAAGAACAAGGAUGAGAGUAACUGUUCAUCCCUUGACGGUAUCUAACCAGAAAGCCACGGCUAACUACGUGCCAGCAGCCGCGGUAAUACGUAGGUGGCAAGCGUUGUCCGGAUUUAUUGGGCGUAAAGCGAGCGCAGGCGGUUUCUUAAGUCUGAUGUGAAAGCCCCCGGCUCAACCGGGGAGGGUCAUUGGAAACUGGGAGACUUGAGUGCAGAAGAGGAGAGUGGAAUUCCAUGUGUAGCGGUGAAAUGCGUAGAUAUAUGGAGGAACACCAGUGGCGAAGGCGGCUCUCUGGUCUGUAACUGACGCUGAGGCUCGAAAGCGUGGGGAGCAAACAGGAUUAGAUACCCUGGUAGUCCACGCCGUAAACGAUGAGUGCUAAGUGUUGGAGGGUUUCCGCCCUUCAGUGCUGCAGCUAACGCAUUAAGCACUCCGCCUGGGGAGUACGACCGCAAGGUUGAAACUCAAAGGAAUUGACGGGGGCCCGCACAAGCGGUGGAGCAUGUGGUUUAAUUCGAAGCAACGCGAAGAACCUUACCAGGUCUUGACAUCCUUUGACCACUCUAGAGAUAGAGCUUCCCCUUCGGGGGCAAAGUGACAGGUGGUGCAUGGUUGUCGUCAGCUCGUGUCGUGAGAUGUUGGGUUAAGUCCCGCAACGAGCGCAACCCUUAUUGUUAGUUGCCAUCAUUCAGUUGGGCACUCUAGCAAGACUGCCGGUGACAAACCGGAGGAAGGUGGGGAUGACGUCAAAUCAUCAUGCCCCUUAUGACCUGGGCUACACACGUGCUACAAUGGGAAGUACAACGAGUCGCGAAGUCGCGAGGCUAAGCUAAUCUCUUAAAGCUUCUCUCAGUUCGGAUUGUAGGCUGCAACUCGCCUACAUGAAGCCGGAAUCGCUAGUAAUCGCGGAUCAGCACGCCGCGGUGAAUACGUUCCCGGGCCUUGUACACACCGCCCGUCACACCACGAGAGUUUGUAACACCCGAAGUCGGUGAGGUAACCUUUGGAGCCAGC
rnacentral:rRNA from 1 species